AUCAUGACAUCAAGAGGAUUACACCAAGGUAUCAUAACAUCAAGAGGAUUACACCAAGGUAUCAUAACACCAAGAGGAUUACACCAAGGUAUCAUGACAUCAAGAGGAUUACACCAAGGUAUCAUAACACCAAGAGGAUUACACCAAGGUAUCAUGACACCAAGAGGAUUACACCAAGGUAUCAUAACACCAAGAGGAUUACACCAAGGUAUCAUGACACCAAGAGGAUUACACCAAGGUAUCAUGACACCAAGAGGAUUACACCAAGGUAUCAUAACACCAAGAGGAUUACACCAAGGUAUCAUGACACCAAGAGGAUUACACCAAGGUAUCAUAACACCAAGAGGAUUACACCAAGGUAUCAUGACACCAAGAGGAUUACACCAAGGUAUCAUAACACCAAGAGGAUUACACCAAGGUAUCAUGACGCCAAGAGGAUUACACCAAGGUAUCAUAACAUCAAGAGGAUUAAACCAAUGUAUCAUGACACCAAGAGGAUUACACCAAGGUAUCAUAACAUCAAGAGGAUUACACCAAGGUAUCAUGACACCAAGAGGAUGACACCAAGGUAUCAUGACACCAAGAGGAUGACACCAAGGUAUCAUGACAUCAAGAGGAUUACACCAAGGUAUCAUGACAUCAAGAGGAUUACACCAAGGUAUCAUGACACCAAGAGGAUUACACCAAGGUAUCAUAACACCAAGAGGAUUACACCAAGGUAUCAUGACACCAAGAGGAUUACACCAAGGUAUCAUAACACCAAGAGGAUUACACCAAGGUAUCAUAACACCAAGAGGAUUACACCAAGGUAUCAUGAUACCAAGAGGAUUACACCAAGGUAUCAUGACACCAAGAGGAUUACACCAAGGUAUCAUGACACCAAGGUAUCUAUUACAGGUACACCGUAGCGUCUUGAACCUCUUAAUGUCACAAUAUGUUGCACUAAGGUCAGUA